AACACGUCAUUCCAUGGCGUUCGCGGGAUGGUCGUGUGUGCAGAUGGAGAAGUGGUGGCACAGUGUUUAGAAAAUAAAAACACUACCCUGGACCCACAGUUCAUGCCACAGUGUCAGUGAGACCCUCUGCUGUGUCGGCGUAUUUUGAGGCCUCAGGUAUAACACAGUGAACGAGACAGAGCCGGCCCUGCCUCGUGAAGCCCACCUCCUAGCAGGAAGCAACGACAAUGAUGCGAGGGACUCGCCACCUCAGUGGGGAGGCUGGGCCUCUUCUUUCCUGGAUGAUUGAUGCCGAAGAUGACCCCUCCCUAUCCAGAGGUCUGUGGUGUCUGCCACUUUAGGUUCAAAAGGGUCACACAGG
rnacentral:lncRNA from 1 species